rnacentral:snoRNA from 1 species
UUGUUGCAACCUUCUAAUAGCUUUACAUCUCCUAAUCUCAAGGAGAAGGGUUAGAAUGUACCGUGUUUUACGGGAGUUCUUUUCCUGUAGAGUUACAAUGGUUGCUAGAAUAACCGUAAGUCAUAGUACAUAUCAAGGCUGAAUUACCCUUGGUGUGUCUCCAUUUGAGAACGGACAUAAA